rnacentral:lncRNA from 1 species
CAAAAACUGUGUUACCGGCACAAAGGAGAAGCAGAGAUUCAGAGUGUGAUGAGUGCUGUGCAGGAGCCUGCUGGCAGGAGAGCCAGACGGACCCAUUUGGACUGUUAAAAGUAAAAGAAGAGGGGCAGAUUCAGGAGGAAACCUGUUAAAGCCUUCCCCAUUGUCACAUGGAGACAGGAACCGGGAGGUCAACUGCAAGCUUUGCCGCUGCUUUUGGGAGGAGACAUGCUGGUGGGUGGUCAGGACUGUUGGUGACAACUGUGCAGCUUUGGAACUGAACUAAAACAAAAGACUGACAAAGAGGAGGAAUCCGGCCAUGCGGGCGCCUUUUCAGCUGUCCUGAAAGGAGGAUAACUCCUCACUGGAACUGCGGAGCUUUCUCCAAACAUGGACCAUCUGAGUUAAAAAGUGGCGCCUCUGAUUUUGUCCUCCACACAUUGACCAGUCAUUCUCGUGGAGCGGGGUCAGUGCAGUGGGAUAUUCCGGGUCUGCCUGCUCGUCUGGGAUCAGGCAGUAUCCCACAGUGAUGUCAUCAUCUGUGGCCAUGACUGACGUAGACAGCUUCCCCAAAAUAUUGUUUCCUCACGUCAGCGUAAAAUCAAGGGGCAGAUUUAUCUCCACGUGGGGCAGCUGCUGUCAUGUCAGACUCGGCUCAAAACUCGGCCUGGAUGUCCUCUUGAACCCCGAUCCUGGAGAGACAAUUUAUUGACACUUUGUCCUUGAAGUGGGAAGGAUAUAGUUCAUCGAUAGCCCCGAGGUUAUCUGCUCUGCUCUGAACCACACGGCUCCACAUUACUGAUAAGCUGUGGACGUUUCCAGAGUACCAACAGUUCAUGAUAAAAAAAAAUUCAAAAGCAAUAAAAAGAACUAUAUUGUAUUGGAGGUUACUUCUUUUUUCACAAAUUAAAAAAAAAAAAUUGCUAAUUUCCCCAUAUUUCUUUUACAAUUUUGUACUUUCCAUUUUCAGUGAGAAAAAUAAAGUAUUUAGAAGUCACAGUUUAUGGAGGUUUUAGAUCCUUUCAUAAAACAUCAGCAAAUUGACGCACAUUGACUGUAAAUGAGAACUGGACCAAGUGACCCCUCCCCUCUAACAUUAUAAACUGGCCAAUCAAAAGCCUCAAUAAAAGUAGGUGGCCUUACGUCAAACAAUAUUCUCCCAAGCCUGCUUUCAAGUGGUCGGGGUGUGGACUUCCAACAAGCUCAUGCCUGAUUGGCUAGAGUGGUUGCCACAAAAAUAUUGACACAGACAUACUUGGACAUAACACCGCAUAAUGACGUCAUCUGAUUCCAACAUGGCGGCGACCGUAUCGCAAAAAAAUGCAGACUGAAUUGACUUCAUGAGGUCGGAAUUGAAAGUACGUCAUUAUCCACUGGUGACAUCACAGUCACACAGUCCAGUCCUUAUAUACAGCCAAUCAAUACUGGUAACAGAACUAAUAUUCAGAUGCAAUAAUAAGUCAUAUGAAUGAUAUUAAAUAUUAAUAAAAAGAUAAAAUAGGGGCAGCAGAUGUGUUUUUUCUUUUCCUUCAUUUUGUAGUUGUUCAAGACCCAAUCAAAUUUUUUUUUUUUUUUUUUGUAAAAUCAUUUAGUGGUCUUUAAAUUUGCUUGUUUUUUAAUUUUCAAGCUUUAAUUUUAAAUUAUUUUAUAUAUAUGUCGUCCUUCAUGAGAGAAAAGCUACAAGAACAUGUUCAAAACAUCAAACACACGAUUUCCAUCGAGGUUGUCUGUAAGUCUUCUAAACUAGUUCUUUUGAUCCUUUUAAUGAGGAUUUUUCAAGACAUUGUGUCAUAGAGCCAAGACGUGGGAGAUGGUGAGAUGUGCCUCUUCUCAAAGAUCUGUUGUUGCACAAUGACUGAGAUGAAUUAAAUUAAAUGAUUUAGCUUGACUGUCAUCUUCACCUUGAGGUCCAGAAUACUAAAUGUGGUCGGUACCGGGCUUAAUUUGAAACCUGAAAAUCCAAAACAUGACUUCCAGAUUUGUCUCUGACAACUGAAUCUCUGAUAAGCAUGUCAGACUUCUUUCAUUUCCUCAAAGACACACUCUGAUCAUCUUUUAAACUAUUUUAAAAGCGUUCCCGGUGGUCUUUUAAAUGGAAUUAUGCCAUUUUUUUGGGUCAAAAUUAAAAAAUUUGUCUUGUUUUCAAUGACAGUUUCUGUGGAACAGCAGUAAAUGAGUUGUGGGUGUGAGUGUUGCUACGGAGCAACCCCGAAACUCUCUCUUACUUAAUCUCCUGCUAGAUAACAGAAAAUGAAAAAUUGGCAAAAUUGGAGGGACCCAGCUGUACAGUUCUGAGUUAUAUGCCAGCUCAGAAGAGAACAAAGAACAUGUACACCUGUCUAGUCGUUUACAAGCGAAUAAUCAGAAUGUGGCGAAGCUUGUGGCCCACCCGGUCUAUUUUCUACGCCACAAAUACAAUCUUUUAAAAGAUAUAUGUUGGUCUGCUCCUGAUUCACAACAAUUUAAAUAAAGAAAUACUCCAAAAUGCAAUUUGAAUGUUAUUUUUCUUUAUACAAAUCCUCCAUCAUCA